UGAGCGGGAAGAGCUCAAAUUUGAAAUCUGGUGGCCUCAGGUCAUCCGAGUUGUAAUCUAUAGAAGUGUUUUCCGUGCUGGCUCAUGUACAAGUCCCUUGGAACAGGGCGUCAUAGAGGGUGAGAAUCCCGUCCUUGACAUGAACUACCAGUGCUCUGUGAUACAUUUUCAACGAGUCGAGUUGUUUGGGAAUGCAGCUCAAAAUGGGUGGUAAAUUCCAUCUAAAGCUAAAUAUUGGCGAGAGACCGAUAGCGAACAAGUACCGUGAGGGAAAGAUGAAAAGCACUUUGGAAAGAGAGUUAAACAGUAUGUGAAAUUGUUGAAAGGGAAACGAUUGAAGUCAGUCGUGCUCUUUGGAUUCAGCCGGUUCUGCCGGUGUACUUCCUUUGAGUGGGGUCAACAUCASUUUUGAUCGCUGGAUAAAGGCAGGAGGAACGUAGUACCCUCGGGUAAACUUAUAGCCUCUUGUCACAUACAGUGGUUGGGACUGAGGAACGCACCAMGCCUUUAUGGCCGGGAUUCGUCCACGUACGUGCUUAGGAUGUUGACAUAAUGGCUUUAAACGACCCGUCUUGA
rnacentral:rRNA from 1 species